rnacentral:rRNA from 1 species
AUUGAACGCUGGCGGCAGGCCUAACACAUGCAAGUCGAGCGGAGCGGCGGACGGGUGAGUAAUGCCUAGGAAUCUGCCUGGUAGUGGGGGCUAACGUCCGCGAACGGGCGCUAAUACCGCAUACUAUCAGAUGAGCCUCGGUCGGAUUAGCUAGUUGGUGGGGUAAAGGCCUACCAAGGCGACGAUCCGUAACUGGUCUGAGAGGAUGAUCAGGCACACUGGAACUGAGACACGGUCCAGACUCCUACAGGAGGGAGAAGUGGGGAAUAAUGGCAGAUGGGAGAAAGCCUGGUCGAGCCAUGCCGCGUGGGUGAAGAAGGUCUUCGGAUUGUAAAACAAUUUAAGUUGGGAGGCGUUACCAGCAGAAUGAGCACCGGCUAACUUCGUGCCAGCAGGCACGGUAAUAC